GGCUUCCAGGAAAGCUGAUGGGGUCUACAUGCACUUUUCCUAUAUCCCCCACUGACAAGUACAGUGAAGGCCGAAUGCUCAGUGAACAGUAACUCUCUGCCCUAAAUCCAGCUGUGACUUUCAUGGUCCUUACUCAUGGACCUUCCACACUGAGGGAGCAUGCUGCAUCUGGGGAAUUUUGGAUAUCAGGAGCACUGAGAAAAAGAGAACACGAAUGAAAUCUCACCUCAUGUGAUAGUAGUCAUGAAACCCAAAGACACAAUGUGGAGAGGAGUUCACGAGAAUGCCUGGUAUGAGGAGAGCACCCCAAAUCACUCUUUAUGAGCUCAUCUCAAAUCUCGGGCUCCACUUAUCCCACGGCGCUGCUCCUGCCUGAGUUCUGCAGCCAAGUGCCCUGUGAUUGCUAUAAGAAGGAGGAAUGAGGACUGGGGGGCGGCGAUGCAGCAAACUGACCAGCUGCCACCUCUCCAUUCUCCCAGUCAAUCUCUCUGAUCAUUGUCUCUGCGCUAGCUCACAGUCUGGAAGCUUGGAGAGCCUCUUUUGUUUCUCCACUUUUUUUUUUUUCUCAGAGUUCUCUGUAAAAGCAUGUUUUGGGUUGUGCUCUCCUGUUUCAAUUAAUUUAUAUCUACCCUCUGACUUUUAGGAACUUAUUAUAUUAUUUGACAAAGCACAAAUGUGCAGAAAAAUCCUAGGCCUAAUAAACCCAGAUGUUCUGGAUGCGAGCCAUUGAAGAUAAUGAAGAGAUCACUCUUAAAGUGCUCUUUUUUUCUUUUCAGAUUUUAAUAGUAAAGCAGAACUUUAAAAAAAAAUAAAGCUGAUAAAAAUU
rnacentral:lncRNA from 1 species